GAGUUUGAUCAUGGCUCAGGAUGAACGCUGGCGGCAUGCUUUACACAUGCAAGUUGAACGAAUUAAAGUUUUCGAAUUUUAGUUAAGUAGCGAACGGGUGAGUAAAACGUAAGAAUCUAUUUUUAGGUGAGGAAUAACUAAUGGAAACGUUAGCUAAUACCUUAUAAACUGAGAAGUGAAAAACUAAAAAUUGCCUAAAAGUGAGCUUGCGCCUGAUUAGCUUGUUGGUAAGAUAAUCGCUUACCAAAGCGACGAUCAGUAGUUGAUCUAAGAGGAUAAUCAACCACACUGGGACUGAGAUACGGCCCAGACCUCUACGGAGGGCAGCAGUGAGGAAUUUUCCGCAAUGGGCGAAAGCCUGACGGAGCAAUGCCGCGUGAAGGAUGAAGGCCUAUGGGUCGUAAACUUCUUUUCUUAAUGAAGAAAUAAGACGGUAAUUAAGGAGUAAGCAUCGGCUAACUCCGUGCCAGCAGCCGCGGUAAUACGGAGGAUGCAAGCGUUAUCCGGAAUUAUUGGGCGUAAAGGGUUUGUAGGCUACUUUUUAAGUCUACUGUUAAAGAAUAAGACUUAACCUUAGAAAAGCAGUAUGAAACUAAAAGGAUAGAGUUCAGUAGGGGUAGAGGGAAUUCUCGGUGUAGUAGUGAAAUGCGUAGAUAUCGAGAGGAACACCAAUAGCGAAAGCACUCUACUAGGCUGUAACUGACGCUAAGAAACGAAAGCUAGGGGAGCCAAUGGGAUUAGAUACCCCAGUAGUCCUAGCUGUAAACGAUGGAUACUAAGUAUUGGAUAAUAAAAAAUUCAGUGCUGUAGCUAACGCGUUAAGUAUCCCGCCUGGGGAGUAUGCCCGCAAGGGUGAAACUCAAAGGAAUUGACGGGGGCCCGCACAAGCG
rnacentral:rRNA from 1 species